UGUCCUUAGUACGAGAGGACCGGGAUGGACGCACCGCUGGUGUACCAGUUGUUCUGCCAAGGGCAUAGCUGGGUAGCUAUGUGCGGAAGGGAUAAGUGCUGAAAGCAUCUAAGCAUGAAGCCCCCCUCAAGAUGAGAUUUCCCAUAGCGUAAGCUAGUAAGAUCCCUGAAAGAUGAUCAGGUUGAUAGGUUCGAGGUGGAAGCAUGGUGA
rnacentral:rRNA from 1 species